GCCGAUUCAUUAUUAACUGGAAAACCAUUAACAGCAACGUAUUUGUGUCAUGCAAAGAUAAAACCCCGAAAACUUAUCAAAGCUCUGUCGUCUAUGAAUUUACUUGCCCUGGAUGUAAUAGUAGGUACAUCGGCAAAACUGACCGCUGCUUAUACACCAGAACUAAGGAACAUUCAUAUCACACUGAAUCUGUAAUCCAUCAACACCUCUCUACUUGCGAACAGUUUCAACAUAUUAAAGCCCUUUUAGAACUAUAUCCCGACGAUGACGCAAAGUCUAAUCAAACGAGUAUAAUGGCUGAACAUGUUUUCCACAAUACUAAAGUUAUUGAUAAAUCUAACCAUUGGUCCCUUUUGCUGUAUCAAGAAUCCCUCGCUAUUCAAAGAUAUAAACCUGAACUUAAUCAUGGACUUAAAGCUUCUAAAGAACUAAUCAUAUUUAAUUAAUUCGUUAAUAAUCAACCUAAUGACUGUAUCAUAUUUCUUCAUAUAAAUACUUCUUUUGAUGUAUAACCUAG